rnacentral:tRNA from 1 species
AGCCCCGAGGUGUUACACAUCAGAUUGCAAAUCUGAAGAAGCAGGCAAUAACCUGCCGGGGCUU